GAUGAACGCUAGCUACAGGCUUAACACAUGCAAGUCGAGGGACCGGCGCACGGGUGAGUAACACGUAUCCAACCUGCCCUUUACUCGGGGAUAACCUUUCGAAAGAAAGAUUAAUACCCGAUAUAAAGGAUGGGGAUGCGUUCCAUUAGGUGGUUGGUGAGGGAACGGCCCACCAAGCCUUCGAUGGCUAGGGGUUCUGAGAGGAAGGUACCCCAGAUUGGAACUGAGACACGGACCAAACUCCGACGGGAGGGAGGAGUGAGGAAUACUGGGGAAGGAGCGGUAGCCUGAACCAGCCAAGUAGCGUGAAGGAUGAAGGCUUAUUGGUCGUAAACUUCUGGUAUAGAAGAAUAGGUAUUAUAUGAAUAAGGAUCGGCUAACUCCGUGCCAGCAGCCGCGGUAAUUC
rnacentral:rRNA from 1 species